rnacentral:rRNA from 1 species
CCUACGGGUGGCAGCAGUAGGGAAUCUUCCACAAUGGGCGAAAGCCUGAUGGAGCAACGCCGCGUGGGUGAAGAAGGUCUUCGGAUCGUAAAACCCUGUUGUUAGAGAAGAAAGUGCGUGAGAGUAACUGUUCACGUGUCGACGGUAGCUACCCAGAAAGCCACGGCUAACUGCGUGCCAGCAGCCGCGGUAAUACGGAGGUGGCAAGCGUUAUCCGGAAUUAUUGGGCGUAAAGGGAGCGUAGGCGGUUUUUUAAGUCUGAUGUGAAAGCCUCCGGCUUAACCGGAGUAGGGCAUUGGAAACUGGGAGACUUGAGUGCAGAAGAGGAAAGUGGAAUUCCAUGUGUAGCGGUGAAAUGCGCAGAUAUAUGGAAGAACACCAGUGGCGAAGGCGGCUUUCUGGUCUGUAACUGACGCUGAGGUUCGAAAGCGUGGGGAGCAAACAGGAUUAGAUACCCUUGUAGUC